GCUGGGCACAGUGGCGCAUGCCUGUAGUCCCAGGGACUCAGAAGGCUGAGGCAGGAGGAUCCCAAGUUGGAGGCCAGCCCGGGCAAUUUAGCAAGCCCCUGCCUCAA
rnacentral:sRNA from 1 species